rnacentral:rRNA from 1 species
UGGGGAAUAUUGCGCAAUGGGCGAAAGCCUGACGCAGCAACGCCGCGUGAGGGAACGAAGGCCCUAGGGUUGUAAACCUCUUUCAGCAGGGACGAAGCGAAAGUGACGGUACCUGCAGAAGAAGCACCGGCUAACUACGUGCCAGCAGCCGCGGUAAUACGUAGGGUGCAAGCGUUGUCCGGAUUUAUUGGGCGUAAAGGGCUCGUAGGCGGUCCGUCACGUCGGAAGUGAAAACCUAGAGCUUAACUCUGGGCCUGCUUUCGAUACGGGCGAACUUGAGUUCGGUAGGGGAGACUGGAAUUCCUGGUGUAGCGGUGGAAUGCGCAGAUAUCAGGAGGAACACCAAUGGCGAAGGCAGGUCUCUGGGCCGAUACUGACGCUGAGGAGCGAAAGCGUGGGGAGCGAACA